CAUGUGUGCGUGACGCAGUCGUGGACGCGACCGGGGGUCGUCGACCUUUUCCUCACCGAUGUGCGCGCGUGCGUGACGGAGAUCAUGAAGGACCCGAGCAAGCCCUCGGACGGCAAGGGCGCGCUCUACGGAAUGGCGGCCGCAAUCCCGGAUCGUUCGCUCGUCAAGGAGAUAUCCGACAUUUUCCUCGAGGCAUGUUACAGCACUAGGGAGCCAGCGAACUCAUAGUGGGUCCAGUCCUGCAUGUGCUCACAUGCCGAAAUUCAGCGCACCAGGGACCAAGUGAGCGCGUGGCGAGACUCCGGCGCCUAUGCACGCGCGUUGCAGCGCGAGCAUUAGUGCUAAUGUAAUGCACAGAGGAGGGAAUUACAGCUUCAAACAAACGGACGUAUCAGCCCCCCCCCCCGUCUUUGUCGUUGUACUUGGACGAACCCUUGGCGGUAACUAAUGUAUUUGUUCUACGUGUACGGUUGUGCCAGGCAGGGUAAAAAAUACACGGGAGCGAUGAGCGCUUUGCUCUUCAAACCUCCGAAAUCGCUCCCGUGGGGCUCA